UCUGUGAAAAAAGUGUAGGUAAAUGUUCCAUGCAGCUCCAGUGCUAAAACAAGAAGAAAACUAAGUACUAACCACAACCUGAGCAUUGUGUACAUUAAAACCAAUGUACCUUUGUGUUGGACGUAGCCACAAAUACCAGUUAGUGAUUUUAAUGGGUAUGUUUAUUUCCAGUUUACCAUUUUGGUUUUGUAAUCCUACAAGCAAUUGCAAUUUGUAACUUAUCCAAAGUUCAUUAAUCAUUAUCAAUGCUACCCUUGUCUGUCACAAUUAUCAGCAUCCAUGUGAAAUGCAUGUAAACAAAUCAUUUCUUCUUUGUUUUUUUACAUGAGUGCAUUUUGGUCUACUGAUGCUUUAGAACUAACUGUGAAGCAACACAAAACAUCAACUUACAUUCUCCAUUCAGAGCAACACAUGGGAAAUUCCUUUUCAAGCAUGGCUGAACACUAUUUCUGCACAGAAGGUGAAAAGCUCUCCACUACAUUGCUGCAAUUGAAGGAUUCACAUGAAAGGGUUAUGUAUUUUCAUAACAUACUGAAGCUCAAGAAGAAUGGGUACCAUGCUAAAGAUUUCUUACACACUCCCUGGAAGGCAUUGACUAGGACCUGAACUCCCUGCUGUGAAGUUAUUAAAAGAUAUGUCCCUGCAUAUGUCCAUAUGAUCAUUCUUUGUUAUAUUUGAUCAUACUGAUUGAAAGUUUGACUUUUAAGUUCAAUAAUAAUAGUUAUACUAUUGAAAUUCUUAGUUAGGGUAUCGAGCAAUUUUUUCUAGUCAGACACUAGUUAAACAAGAGUGAACAUAAGAAGAAAUCUCAAAUGAUUCAAAGCUAUUUCCAUUAUCACAAACAUCAUGGAUGCAUUUAAGAAACAAGAGAACAUUUUUUUCAGUUUUCUAGAUCAUCAAUUCGGCAAUCAGCAUUGUAUUAACACACCAACAUCUUAGAAAGCUGAAGUCGUCCUUUCUUAAAUUUAAUGCUAACUUUAAUAUGCCCUGUAAAAGAAAGGUAUGUGACAUAUUUUCAUGGAUAUAUGUAGGUAUCACUGUAUCAGAGUUUGUGCAAAUAGACAAUAGCUUACGCGAUCUUGUUUCUUGUCAAUAACCAUCCAGGUAUGUUCCCAGUGAGUGAGUUUCCAGAUAGAUAUCUGCAGGACAAUUUUGGUCAAGGCUUAUUCAAGGAAGGAGCCCGAUGAAAUGCCAUGUAUGGUUCAGUUUACGCAGAACACCACAACUUACAUGUAAUCUACCCUUCCCAUAUAAGCAAAAGAAGCUGGUAUUUGCCCACUUAGUCUAUUGAAGCUCAGGUCCCUGCAUAGACAAUGUUGAUAAUAAAAGAUGUGAAUAAUAAAAAAAUUAGCACUUACAUUGUGAUUUAUUACAGAUGCUUAAGAGUUGUCCAUGUGCCAAUGUAAGACGGGAUGCUUCCACCGAUGGAACAGUUCCUUAGUAUCCUACAUUUGAGAAAUUUUGUAUCAUAUGAAAGCUGGCAUAUGGCAAGCUUGAACUUCAGUAAACCACGAACUUACAAUUUCUUCAAGGAUGGCAUUCGACUUAAGUCAGGGAAAGAUGAACCACUACCUCUCAGAUCACUAAUCCUUCUGUUUCACAAAGAAAUGCAACCAGAAUUUAGUGAAGGCUUAUAGUUUUUUCUUUUUACAGGGUUGUGAAAACUUAUAUCCAGUAAGUGAAUAUCAUUAUAUGUGUAAAAUUAUGGGAGUUUUAAGCAUUGCUCUGGCAUACAGGUCAUGAAGGUUUGUCAAUUUAGAUAGGCUGGGGGGAAUAGGCCCAUCCAACAAAGAUCCUUCUAUUUCCCUGCACCAAGAGGUGUUUCAUCAAAUAAAGAAGAUAUUUUUUGUGGGGUGCCUAUCAUCAUGAAUUCACUGACUCACAAUAUUUGGAGUGACUGUGGCUUCACAAGUUGCAGGAAAGCAAGAGCCUGUGGCAUCUUUUUAAAACUCCAUAAUACUGGCUCCACAUGCUACAUCCUGUUCUACUACUCAAGAAAACAAUUUGGACAAGCAAAGCGUUGAAGUUGAGUUUGUUACAGGUGUUGAAGGUAGGGGAGGUCGGCGAAGUCGGGCGGGAGCUCGCCGGAGAAGUUGCGCCCCGUGAGGACUCUGCAAUAAAGGCGAUCAACACAAUCUCCUGUCAUCCACUCUGUGUUGCCUGAUCAUCAGCUCAGUUGAAAUACAGACGGUCUGGUUGGAAGCGGCGGCGGCGGAGCACUGGCAGUCCACGCCAGCAGCAGGGUCGUCGCACGGGCCGGCGGCCAAGUCCCAAUGUGUCACCCGGAGCUUGGCCGCGAUCCGGCGGAGGACGCGCGCUGCAAAAGAG